rnacentral:rRNA from 1 species
UACGUAGGGUGCGAGCGUUGUCCGGAAUUAUUGGGCGUAAAGGGCUCGUAGGCGGUUUGUCGCGUCGGGAGUGAAAACCCAGGGCUUAACCCUGGGCUGGCUUCCGAUACGGGCAGACUAGAGGUAUGCAGGGGAGAACGGAAUUCCUGGUGUAGCGGUGAAAUGCGCAGAUAUCAGGAGGAACACCGGUGGCGAAGGCGGCAUCCUGGACCGGCAUUGACGCUGAGGAGCGAAAGCUAGGGGAGCAAACGGG